UGUUAAUAGCAUGUGAUUCCAUGUGUCUUUUAAUUUAAAAGACAAUUUUUUUUUUCUGUAAAUUAAAAUACAAUAGACACAGCAAUUACCGUUUCCUCUUUACUCACACUUUCAGAUAAAUACUUUCCCAUUUUCGCCUUGCAAAAAAGUCUUUCAAUUCUCUUCAUCUUUGUGAUUUCUUUUUCUCGGUUGGGUGUUCUAAGUUUAGGUAUACUUUUCUGCCAAUUUUUCUUCUCCUCUUUCUACAUUUUUUUUUUUCCGUGUGUUUGUUGGGUUUUCAGCUUUAGUUCAAUAUGCUCUUUUAGUUGCUUCUAUUUAUUUCGUAAUUGUACUGCAUUUUAGUUAGUGUGGAGCUGGUUCCCAUAACUUGAUUGGUGAAUGUCUGUUAGUUGUUUGACUUAAUGAUUCAUGAAUGUGUAGUUUUUUUCUAGCAGUGACAUAACUCACAUGAGUGUAUACGUUUUAGGGCUAUUUGAUCACUUUAUUUAUUUUCUUUAUAAGUUCUAAGAUUUUCUUCUACUCUAUGCACCGAAUAUCACUAAAAAAUUUCAUAGGGCAGAUAAAGCUAGAAAUGCGGGCUCGAUGGUGCAAAAUAGUUAUUUGAAAACUAUUUCAAGCAAAUGCACAUUUUCCACACGCCAUGGCAAUGCUUCAAUUUAACAGCUAAUUGAGACUUAUUGAAGAGAGGUUGGGCUAUAUCUCUAAACUUUCCACAUUUCAGCAAAUGCCACCUACAACAAAGGCCAAGUAUUCAACCUCGGAUGACGCCUGAAUGUUCUUUUAGAGGUCAUUCAGUCUAAACAUUUAACAUGGUCGAUGACCUUUUGAUUAGAUUAUUUCUCUUCGCAGUUAAUUCUCUCUUUCAAUUUCAUUGUCUGCAGUAGGUCUUUGAUUGAGAUAACCGAGAGAAGAUGUUUAUUGAAAUUGAGGGGAUACUAGAAGACAGAUUAAGGCAUUACAGCAAGAAGAAUCCCUGGAGUUUGCUCUGUUUCUGGGUCUUAUAUACAGGGCUCUCAACUUCAUCUUUAAAAAGUCUUAAUUUUUGAUAGCUAAGUUUUUGUUUUUUAUGUUUCCUCCCUGUUCUUUUGGUUCUGUUUUGCCACUAUGUUGUCAAGAUCUUGUUUCAAUCUGCUGAUUUUUGAUGAUUGUUCUGGUGUUGAUCGGGCUUCUCUAAGUAACAUGAGAGUAGGAGGAUCAUUGUAGCAAAUUAGUUGCCAGUGAAGACUUAUGGGAAUAAGGAGGAAAAAAAUGAUGUUUUGAAUGGGACAAAUAUGCUUUAGAUACACUUUGUGCGGCUAAAAGAUGAGUUCUCACCAGAUUUGGAGAAUAUUAUGUGGGAUGUUUGAAGGCAGAUUUAGAAUUGAAAGAACAAGAGGAAGUAGCAUAGUUCCUGUGAAAGAAAUUAAGGUGUGUACCAAAUCUCUUGUCAUUGGAUUAAAUAAACAAGUUUAUGAGGUGAGUAAUCUAGGUGAAAGCUAUGUUUGGAUUCAAGAUUAUAAAGUCAUGUUGUUGCCUACUGUAUUAAGAAAAAAAUUCAACAGAAUAAAAGUUGGUUUUUUCUUUUGUAGUCCUUUCCCAACAUCUGAAAUAUACUUGCAAAGCAACAUUUCAAGAUUAGCUUCUUAUACUUUAAGGGGUUGUUUGGUUGGAAACAAGUUAUCCCAGGGUAACUUAUCCUGGGAUUAGUUAUCCCGGGAUUAGUUGUUUCACCCUCUCAUAGGAAUAAAAUAACACUAUAAUUUCAGGAUAACUAAUCACGGGAUUAGUAUAUCGCGAUUUUAUCUCAACCAAACGUGGAAUAAACUCAUCUCAACUAUAAUCUCGGUGUCAGAGCAAACGAGCCCUAAGUGCUAGCUAGCCUUGGAAGGGCUUUCAAUUAACAAGUUGACAUUCUUCACUCAAAUAUGUAAUAUUUUUUUUUAGAAUGGUGAAGUUCUCGACGGAUAGAAUCAAUGAUAUUGUAGCAUCUUAUAACACAUAUUAUGUUGCAUGUCACUAAAAGGGUUUUUUAUAGCGAUCUAAUUUGUAAUGUCUUACUCAGUGUUGACAUGAAUGCCCUCUGCUCCUUCAUAUCUACAAUAUAGAGGGAAUAACUCCUGCAAGAAACAAAGAUGUACUACCAGGAAAUACAAAGUAAAUCUAGGGUAAAUGAUUUUUGAUUUGGUGAUUUCAAUGAAAGAUUGGUUUUAUUUCAAUGAAACAUUGGUUUUGUUGUUUCCCUCUCUAUUGGUUGUGAUUUUGUUUGUGUUUGACCAUAGUUUGCCUGGACUAUCUUUGUCUUCUUCUGUUUUUCCUUUGAGAAAUAAGUACUAACAAGUGAUCAUUGCUUCACGAUUGCGUGACUGUACAGGUUUUUUGCCGAACGCUGCUAAGAGGAACGCAGCAAAGGAGGCAAAAUACAAAAAACACAAUACCAGUUCCAAUAAGUAACUAGCAUAGCCUGUAAAUAGUUUUCGAAAUUAUGUGAUUUAAAUAAUGCAUAUAUCUUAUACUUAGCAUGCUGGCACGGGACUGCAUCAAGCUAUUAAUAUGUAGGAAGUUUGAUUCGUAUGUUUGCAUUUCACAACUUAUGGCGUAUACUCAGAGACUGAAAAUUAAGUAGAAAGUUUUGCAAAUAAAGUUAAUUUUAUACUCCUCAGCUUAAGCGUCCUACAUGUUGGGCCCGUGCUGCCACGGGCCAUGCACCCCUAGUAUUUAUUAAUAUAUAUUUAUACUUAACACUA